rnacentral:rRNA from 1 species
AGCGUAGACGGUGUGGCAAGUCUGAUGUGAAAGGCAUGGGCUCAACUUGUGGACUGCAUUGGAAACUGUCAUACUUGAGUGCCGGAGGGGUAAGCGGAAUUCCUAGUGUAGCGGUGAAAUGCGUAGAUAUUAGGAGGAACACCAGUGGCGAAGGCGGCUUACUGGACGGUAACUGACGUUGAGGCUCGAAAGCGUGGGAGCAAACA